UACGUAGGGGGCAAGCGUUAUCCGGAUUUACUGGGUGUAAAGGGAGCGUAGGCGGCAGUGCAAGUCAGAAGUGAAAGCCCGGGGCUCAACUCCGGGACUGCUUUUGAAACUGUACAGCUUGAUUGCAGGAGAGGCAAGUGGAAUUCCUAGUGUAGCGGUGAAAUGCAUAGAUAUCACACAGAACACCGAUUGCGAAGGCAUCUGACGAAUCGGAGAUUGACGCUGAUGCACGAAAGCGUGGGUAUCGAACAGG
rnacentral:rRNA from 1 species